GACGAACGCUGGCGGCGUGCUUAACACAUGCAAGUCGAACGGAAAGGCCCUGCUUUUGUGGGGUGCUCGAGUGGCGAACGGGUGAGUAACACGUGAGUAACCUGCCCUUGACUUUGGGAUAACUUCAGGAAACUGGGGCUAAUACCGGAUAGGAGCUCCUGCUGCAUGGUGGGGGUUGGAAAGUUUCGGCGGUUGGGGAUGGACUCGCGGCUUAUCAGCUUGUUGGUGGGGUAGUGGCUUACCAAGGCUUUGACGGGUAGCCGGCCUGGGAGGGUGACCGGCCACCAUGGGACUGAGGUACGGCCCAGACUCCUACGGGAGGCAGCAGUGGGGAAUAUUGCACAAUGGGCGGGAGCCUGAUGCAGCAACGCCGCGGGCGGGAUGACCGCCUUCGGGUUGUAAACCGCUUUCGCCUGUGACGAAGCGUGAGUGACGGUAAUGGGUAAAGAAGCACCGGCUAACUACGUG
rnacentral:rRNA from 1 species